rnacentral:rRNA from 1 species
GAUGAACGCUGGCGGCGUGCCUAAUACAUGCAAGUCGAGCGAACAGACGAGGAGCUUGCUCCUCUGACGUUAGCGGCGCACGGGUGAGUAACACGUGGAUAACCUACCUAUAAGACUGGGAUAACUUCGGGACACCGGAUCUAAUACCGUAUAAUAUAUUGAACCGCAUGGUUCAAUAGUGAAAGACGGUUUUGCUGUCUCUUAUCGAUGCAUCCCGGCCGCAUUAGCUAGUUGGUAAGGUAACGGCCUACCAAGGCAACCAUGCGUAGCCGACCUGAGGGGGGGAUAGGCCACCCUGGAAGUGGAACACGGUCAAGACUACUACGGGAGGCACCAGUAGGGAAUCUUCCGCAAUAGGGGAAAGCCUGACGGAGCAACGGCGCGUGAGUGAUGAAGGUCUUCGGAUCGUAAAACUCUGUUAUUAGGUAAGAACAAAUGUGGAAGUAACUAUGGACGUAUUGACGGUAACUAAUAAGAAAGCCACGGCUAACUACGUG